CUACGUGCCAGCAGCCGCGGUAAUACGUAUGUCACGAGCGUUAUCCGGAUUUAUUGGGCGUAAAGCGCGUCUAGGUGGUUAUGUAAGUCUGAUGUGAAAAUGCAGGGCUCAACUCUGUAUUGCGUUGGAAACUGCAUGACUAGAGUACUGGAGAGGUAAGCGGAACUACAAGUGUAGAGGUGAAAUUCGUAGAUAUGUGCAGGAAUGCCGAUGAUGAAGAUAGUUCACUGGACGGUAACUGACGCUGAAGUGCGAAAGCUAGGGGAGCAAACAGGAUUAGAUACCCUGGUAGUCCUAGCUGUAAACGAUGAUUACUGGGUGUGGGCAUGAAGAGUGUCCGUGCCGAAGCUAAUGCGAUAAGUAAUCCGCCUGGGGAGUACGGCCGCAAGGCUGAAACUCAAAGGAAUUGACGGGGGCCCGCACAAGCGGAGGAACAUGUGGUUUAAUUCGAUGAUACGCGAGGAACCUUACCCGGGCU
rnacentral:rRNA from 1 species